AUGUACAUUCCUAUAACACAACGUUAAUGCACUAGAUCCCAUUAGAAAUCCACAGUUAAGCACGCUCAGACUAGAGUAGUAUUGGGAUGGGUGACCACCCGGGAAGUCUUAGUGUUUUACAUG
rnacentral:rRNA from 1 species